CCGGGGUCCACCCUGCAGCGGCUAUCCGUCUGUUUCCUCCUCCUCCCCAUCUCAUCCUCUUCUUCUCGAGAUCUAUCUGCUCGGCGUCUCCUAGCUAUGGCGGCUCUACCCUCCUCGCCCGAACUCCGGCGGUACAUCACCCCGUAGAAUUUCCGAGCGAUUUGGCCCGUCGGGUGCGCUGAUCUUCAUGCCCAUGGAUUACAUGGUUGGAUGGAUCAGAAAGAUCUCAUCUUUCCUCCUGAUCCGGAUUGACAGGAGAAGGAUCCAGCUGCUUUCCAGUGAUAUGCCCUAUCUAUGGCUGUUGUCACCAAGCCAUUCUCAUCCGAUCUGAAUCAUCUUGUUGAGCAAUAUCCGAUCUGAAUCUUGAAGACGCCAUCUUUUGUUGAGAGAUGAAGCUAAGGCGCAAUGGUUCCAUCUUUGUACAGUUGUGGUUUUUUUUCCUAGCUCAUCGCCCCCAGAUCAGCUUCAACUUAUUUCUUUGUGGGCUGGGUUGAAGAAAGAUGCAAUAGAAUAAGGUGAACAAAUUGUAGCUAACUAUCUAUCAGUUGAUGAAAGGUUGAGCAAAAUGGAAAUCUAGGUUGAGCAAAAAUGGAACUUGCUCUACAUGUUGAUGUAGUGGGGGAGACAGUAAAUUAAAUUCUCUCCAUUUAUGUUCUUUUUGUUUUGUCAUAUUUUGCAAAUGAGUAUGUAAUCUUCACUUUUGAUAGUUUGCUUUGGAAGUUAUCCAGCCAAUGUAUUUUUAUCUAAUAUUAUUGUAAAUUAUUAUUACAGGAUUGAUAUCACUAGUUCUCUAUAA